UUUCUGCACGACAUGCUGCGCUUUCUUCCUGGACAUCCCAUCCUUCAUGAGCCGCAUCUGCCGCCAAGCGAACACCCGGGCUGGGUGUGGCUGGAAUGAGUUCAACUGCACAGGAUAAUGCUUUGCCUGCACCACAUACAAACGUUGCUUCACAAACGCUACUUGAUACAGCUGCAGCAAGAGGGAAAGCCGUGAGACAGAGGGAUUUGACAUGCACGCAAUGCGCCAGAGCUGCAGGGUGCACAGGGAGGCUCACGUCUGGAUUUCUGGCGUAGAAAGACUCUACAAGCCUGUCUUCAGGAAACUCGAUAGGCUUCACUCUCUUUGUCCUCUCCCCUCUCUGGUGCGUGAAUUUCACAUUGCCUGGUAACUGGACUGCGUCCAAACUGAACCACAAAAAAUAAUUGCAAUCAGAUCAAGUUCACAUACCCUACGUGGGUUGCAAGCUUGUGAAGGGGAGUCCAACUGAAGCUGCAGUGAUGGGGACCAGUUAAGAAACUUACUUUUCCCAAGCGGUGAGCCACGCCGGCAUCGGAUGUCCUCCCAAUUGGCACAAGCGGCGCAUGUACUCGACAGUGUCCAGUGUGCUCUUAAAUCGCCCCAUGCCGACUUUGAUCUAUUUUGCAGUAGACAAUCAGCAAAAGCAGGUUUUCUU
rnacentral:lncRNA from 1 species